rnacentral:rRNA from 1 species
UGGAGGACCGAACCCACCUAUGUUGAAAAAUGGGGGGAUGACCUGUGGCUAGGGGUGAAAGGCCAAUCAAACCCGGAGAUAGCUGGUUCUCCGCGAAAACUAUUUAGGUAGUGCGUUGUGUAUCACCAUCGGGGGUAGAGCACUGGAUGGGCUAGGGGGGAGCUAAUCCUUACCAAACCUAACCAAACUCCGAAUACCGAUGAGUGCAGCACAGCAGACAGACAUUGGGUGCUAAGGUCCAAUGUCGAAAGGGAAACAGCCCAGACCGCCAGCUAAGGUCCCCAAGUCAUGGCUAAGUGGCAAAGGAUGUGAGAAGUCCAAAACAGCCAGGAGGUUGGCUUAGAAGCAGCCAUCCUUUAAAGAUAGCGUAACAGCUCACUGGUCUAGAUAAGCCGGCCUGCGCCGAAGAUGUAACGGGGCUUAAACCAUACACCGAAGCUGUGGACAUGCGUUUACGUAUGUGGUAGCGGAGCGUUCCGUAAGUCUGUGAAGUUGUGUCGCGAGACACGAUGGAGAUAUCGGAAGUGAGAAUGCUGACAUGAGUAGCGAUAAAGAGUGUGAGAAACACUCUCGCCGUAAGUCCAAGGGUUCCUGCGCAAGGCUAAUCCGCGCAGGGUGAGCCGGCCCCUAAGGCGAGGGCGAAAGCCGUAGUCGAUGGGAACCAGGUUAAUAUUCCUGGGCCAGGUGGGAUGUGACGAAUGGCGUAAGUUGUUCCUUCUUAUUGGAUUGAAGGUGCAGCGAAGUCGUUCCAGGAAAUAGCCCCACUAUAGACCGUACCCUAAACCGACACAGGUGGAUUGGUAGAGUAUACCCAGGCGCUUGAGAGAACGAUGUUGAAGGAACUCGGCAAAAUGCCUCCGUAACUUCGGGAGAAGGAGGCCCCAUGCCUGGGCAACCGGGUGUGGGGGGCACAGACCAGGGGGUGGCGACUGUUUACUAAAAACACAGGGCUCUGCGAAGCCGCAAGGCGAAGUAUAGGGUCUGACGCCUGCCCGGUGCCGGAAGGUUAAGAGGAGGGGUGAGAGCUCUGAAUCGAAGCCCCGGUAAACGGCGGCCGUAACUAUAACGGUCCUAAGGUAGCGAAAUUCCUUGUCGGGUAAGUUCCG